rnacentral:tRNA from 1 species
GGUUCUAGGGUGUGGUGGUUAGCAACAUCUGCCUUACACACAGAAGCUCCUGGGUUCGAGUCCCUGUGGAACCA